GACGUAGGGGGCCAGCGUUGUUCGGAAUUACUGGGUGUAAAGGGUUCGUAGGCGGUGUAGCAAGUCGGGAGUGAAAUCUCUGGGCUUAACCCAGAGGCUGCUUCCGAAACUGCUGUGCUUGAGUGUGGGAGAGGCGCGUGGAAUUGCAGGUGUAGCGGUGAAAUGCGUAGAUAUCUGGAGGAACACCGGUGGCGAAGGCGGCAUUCUGGACUGCAACUGACACUGAGGAACGAAAGCCAGGGGAGCAAACGGG
rnacentral:rRNA from 1 species